rnacentral:rRNA from 1 species
UGCGUAGGUGGUGCGUUAAGUCCGUUGUGAAAUCCCGAGCUCAACUCGGGAACUGCUUCGGAUACUGGCGCACUUGAGGCCGGUAGGGGUCACUGGAACAGACGGUGGAGCGGUGAAAUGCGUAGAUAUCGUCUGGAACGCCGGUGGUGAAGACGGGUGACUGGGCCGGUUCUGACACUGAGGCACGAAAGCGUGGGGAGCGAACGGGAUUAGAUACCCCGGUAGUCCACGCCCUAAACGAUGCAGACUAGAUUGCAGCGGGUUCUACCCCGUUGUGGUCGGAGAAAAAUUGUUAAGUCUGCCACCUGGGAAGUACGGUCGCAAGGCUAAA